rnacentral:rRNA from 1 species
AUGUUCAGUUUUGGGAAAGUAUACCUCCCGCUGAAAGAACAGGGGAAAGACCAUUUCAUUUACGCCAAGGUCGCCCUGAUGUUGAUCACCAGCGGGGCGUUGGCAGUAGCAUGCCGCCUGGCCGGCCGCCUCUGCAACUACAUGGUUGAGGAGGAGAUAGGUGAGGUCGAGCCUGAGAUCCGUAGCAUGCAUGACUCCGUGGACAUGGCGGCGGCCAUGGUGUGUCGAGGGUCUGAUAAUGGACAUAACACAGCUACUGGAGAGGAGAUUAAAAUAUGGAAGAUAGCAACAGAGGGGGAAGCUGAGGCUGGUAGAUCCAUUGAGCAAGAGUGCCAGACCCAGAUGACGGUAAAUCAUUUUGAACUGUUGUGUUUUCGGUGGCACCUAAAUACAUUGGUCGAUCUGCACCAUGCUCUGCUCCUAUUGACUGUGCACAAUGCACAUGAAGCAGAAACUGACCACGAACUCCUCUCCCUCUCUCCCUCUCGCCCACGAACUCCUCGGCACCAACACCACCCGCGCCGCCGGCUUCCGGCGAGCUCCGACGCCGCGCAGCACGCCCCCAAGCCCCCCACGAUCCGCGCCUCCCUCCCCUCCUUCCAGAUUCUCCGUUCCCGGCCUCUAACGUCCGCUCGCAACCAAACCCCCGUGGCUAGGGUUUCGGGCUGGGCUUCGCCGGCGCGUCUCCGGCGGCCCCAGGUUCGUCCCUCCUUCCUUCUUGGCUGGGAUUUUUCACCCCUACACCUCACCAUCUCUUCAUAUCCUCUACUGCAGAUGCAGAUGGAGCACGCCAUGGGAGUUCCCCAUCCACCACGGUCACCGCCGUCAAGUGCUUCUUCACGGAGAUGUGAAGGACGCCAAGGACAUGCAGCUACUCAAGUAAUUUUCUCUGUUAACCUUGGGCCAGCUCAUUUGUGUGUGCUUCAUGUAUAUGCUCAUGCUUUUGAUGCUGCUGGACUUUGGAAUGCAUCCGCACAGUUGUCAUUAGUUACGAGAUGGUACAUCAGUGUCUCCACUCUAAAGAUGAAUAUAAUACGCCAAAAGGUACAUGAGUUGGAAGAAAGUCCAAGCAGAAGGAACUCCUGCAGAUGCCCAGGCUGCUACUGUGCCUAUCUUAAGUUGCAAGUCUUCUGUAAGAGCCUUGAUGUACUUUAUCUCAUGGUUUGGGUUGUGAAAGAAUUUUGGAAGGACCACAAGCCAUGGACAUGUGUUCUAUUUCUGAAAAAAGAAGCUUCUCUGUUAGCUAGCAUCCCCGACGAUCUUGGUGGCAAAAUUGCUCGCCAACUUUUUGGUGUGGCUGACUUUGGCGGGGCUGAUUGGGGCGCAAUCCAAACGCCCCCUGCAUCCCCUGAUGUUGAGCUAUAUGGACCAUAUGAGCAGAACCACGUUUCAAUGCAAAUCGUUAACUGGACUUCCCUGAUUGCGGUGCUGGCAGGGCUCGUGAUGGACAAGGCGAACGCAGCGGAUAGGGCACCAAAGGGGGCAUUCAACCCACGGUCCGAGCAGAUUUGUGUAAAGGAAAAAAACGCGACCACAAGAGGGAGCACGGGCUCGCCUCCUCUCCCUCAUCGCCGCCGCCGCCACCACCCACGCCGUCCGCUUCCGGCGACCUCCAACGCCGUGCAGCACGCCCCCGAGCUCUCCACGGGUUUCGGGCAGGGCUUCGUCGGAGCCACGAGAGCCAUGAGCGUGACGGAGGCUGGGGAAAGAAUGGAAACACUACUGCUCGCAAUGACAGGAUGGUGCUGUGCGUGCGCCGCCCCAAGGCCGCAACUGCUUCCUCCAGUCGUCCCUCCUCCAUGGCUACAUCUUGGUGAGAUCCCUUCCACCCAAGCCUCUCCCCCUUUCUUUUUUAAAACUGAUUCCCAAUUCCUUGAUCAAACCAUGCUCCUCUGCUCCUGUAGGUCUCGCUUAGCUACCAGUACAGUGCAGAUUGCUUUCUUUAUUCAAUUGAUUUUGUUGUCUAUGUAUUACCUGAACUCCAAGGGAACCAACUUACAUGGCGUAAUGGAUGGAGGUGUUAUUGGGGCUUAUUUUUUCAUGAUUGGAAACAAGAUGUUGCUGGUGUUGGAGCUCAUAGAGAAUGAAGAGAACACAUUUGGGUACACCUACCAGGACAGUUUGUUCUACGUUUAUCUUGCUUUGGGGUUGCAGACCCUAACAUAUCAAGAUAGCUCUUGA